rnacentral:tRNA from 1 species
AAGGGUUUAGCUUAAUAAAAGCGAAUGAUUUGCAUUCAUUAGAUGUGAGAUGAGUUCUUGCAAUCCUUA